rnacentral:rRNA from 1 species
AUUGAACGCUGGCGGCAGGCUUAACACAUGCAAGUCGAGCGGGGUGAUGGUGCUUGCACUAUCACUUAGCGGCGGACGGGUGAGUAAUGCUUAGGAAUCUGCCUAUUAGUGGGGGACGACAUCUCGAAAGGGAUGCUAAUACCGCAUACGUCCUACGGGAGAAAGCAGGGGAUCACUUGUGACCUUGCGCUAAUAGAUGAGCCUAAGUCGGAUUAGCUAGUUGGUGGGGUAAAGGCCUACCAAGGCGACGAUCAGUAGCGGGUCUGAGAGGAUGAUCCGCCACACUGGGACUGAGACGCGGCCCAGACUCCUACGGGAGGCAGCAGUGGGGAAUAUUGGACAAUGGGGGGAACCCUGAUCCAGCCAUGCCGCGUGUGUGAAGAAGGCCUUAUGGUUGUAAAGCACUUUAAGCGAGGAGGAGGCUCUUUUGGUUAAUGCCCAAGAUGAGUGGACGUUACUCGCAGAAUAAGCACCGGCUAACUCUGUGCCAGCAGCCGCCGUAA